UGCUAUGCUUUACAUUGAGGUCAGAGGCCAUUGCUAAAAGUUGAAUUGUUUGAUUGGUGUUAUUUAUCUAAUUCAUGGUGGUUCAGCUUAUGAACACCUAAAAGGACAAUUUUUCCAAUUAACUUUAAUUUUGAGUUUAAGGUAUAUCCCAGAUUCCUUAGUUUGCUAAGUUGCUCUUACUCUUGGAGGUAUUUCAGCAAUGAACAAU
ensembl:misc_RNA